rnacentral:lncRNA from 1 species
UCCCCUGGAGGUCUAAUGAGCUUGCAGGAAUUUCCCUCUUCGGGGCACUGACUGCACUUGUGCCAGGAGAUAACUCUCUGAGUUGCUGUACCAUGACAAAGUCGUCACCUGGUGAUGAAAAAGAAUAUAAAAUGGAAUGAUUUAAUGUUAAGUACCAAUGGACUGCCUAAAAAAGAUGAAGUAAAAACAAUAAGUGCCAGAGGAAGAUCAUUCCUGUUUAUGAAGUUCCUGGAAAGUUACCCUUAAUGCAGUUUUCAAGCACAAACAAAGAGAAAAACAAUUGACGGCCUUGUUGCCAAAGCCACUUUUUUUUUUUCUUUUCAAUACCCUAUUCCACAGCUUCCAUGACCCUUUUUGCUCGGAUUCCAAAAGGCUGAGUGUUGGUAUGGGCCAUGCAAAGACUGGCAAAUCCCUGGAAGCUCUCCCCUGGAAUGAUUCUGACUCUCUCCUUCUUAUAGACAUUCUGUAUGGGCAUGACCUGUUCUGCCAGCUGGGUAGCCAACUUGAGUUCUUCAGCAGAGAUGUCUCCCUUUUCAGGGGCCAAGGGCUUCAGAGGAAGAGGAUGAACCUGUAUAGGUACUUCUUCAGCCCCUCCACGUCAGCCUCCAGGGAUUCUGUAGACUUGUUCUGCCGUCUUGGAUCCACUGAGAUCCCAAUGAUCCAUGCCACCUUCUUGUAGAUGCCAGCCACUUGUAACUCUUCCAAGCUGAAGUCCAUGCCAGGUGGCACAUCGGUGUGAUACCUCACCAUAGGGCGCCUUACGAUGAGCUGGAAGGGUCUGGAUGGGUCUGGACAAGGGAUGCAGGGCCAUGUGGCUUGCCUUGGCUUGCCUGUCCUUGCAUCUGCACGUGCAAGGGGGCUGGUUGAACCAAGUGGCCACAAAGGGCGCCAGUCCUUCUGUAAACUGGGUUCAGGAUCACACCAUUCUACCUCUGCUGCUGCCUAUGGGUGGGCCCCAAGGGACAGUGACUCUUUAUUUAAAAAACAAAAAUAAGAUCACCUGGGUGGCUCAGUGGUUGAGCGUCCUCUGCAUUUGGCUCAGGUCUGAUCCCAGGGUCCUGAGAUGGAGAAGCAGGCUCACUCUGGGGAGCCUGAUGCAGGACUCCAUCCCUGGACCCUGGGAUCAUGACCUGAGCCAAAGGCAGACACUUAAUGCUGAGCCACCCAGGUACCUUUAUAACAAAUUUUAUAACAAUAUUUUGAAUCUUACCUGUUUUGUUAUAAAUAGACCUAAAAACUAAAGAAACCACAUUCUAAGAAAUUUUAAGGGUAAACUACUGGGGAAUUUCUAAUGUUAUUUGGUAUCAGCAAUUAAUUGUGAAUUUUGGCUAUUUAUAUCAUCCAUCUCUUUUAUUAUAGUAUAUAGUUAUUUAAAUGAAAAGAAAAAUGGAUUGCUACCUCUCCAUUCUACCAACAUACUAGAUCUUCAUGAAACCCCAGCUGGUUGGUUCCACUCCCCAUCUGAGAGUCUUGAAUGGCCUCUUUGUAUAGGACUAAGGUUGAAGUCUUUGACAAACCUUAUGUGAGGACUUGUAUCACCUGGCCCUUACUUCUCCCCAACCUCCUGAAACACUCCAAUACUAUACAUAGCACAAUUCGACCCAUAGAAAGCUCUGUUCUUCAGUCAAAUUGUGCUCCAUUUCCUUCUGUACAUUCGUCCUAUUGUUUUCUCUGUGCUUGGCAUUUUUCUAUGUGUUGGGCAAAACCCAGGAUUUCUAUGGUAGAGAGGGAAGCGGCAUUGGUGUCAACUCAAAACAAAAGCAAGUUCCAACCCUAGUUCUUACUAUUAAUGGCUUUUGGUAAAUAAUGUAUUAUCAUCAUGUCUCAAUUUCCUCAUAAUGUUUAGAUUGCUGAACCAGAAAUACUAUAUGUAAAGGGCUUGUCAAAAAAUAAAUGCUCUAUAAAUAUACUAAAUACUUUUAUUCC